GACGAACGCUGGCGGCGUGCUUAACACAUGCAAGUCGUACGGUAAGGCCCUUUCGGGGGUCCACGAGUGGCGAACGGGUGAGUAACACGUGAGUAACCUGCCCACAACUUUGGGAUAACGCUAGGAAACUGGUGCUAAUACUGGAUAUGUGCUCCUGCUGCAUGGUGGGGGUUGGAAAGCUCCGGCGGUUGUGGAUGGACUCGCGGCCUAUCAGCUUGUUGGUGGGGUAGUGGCCUACCAAGGCGGCGACGGGUAGCCGGCCUGAGAGGGUGACCGGCCACAUUGGGACUGAGAUACGGCCCAGACUCCUACGGGAGGCAGCAGUGGGGAAUAUUGCACAAUGGGCGCAAGCCUGAUGCAGCAACGCCGCGUGCGGGAUGACGGCCUUCGGGUUGUAAACCGCUUUCAGCAGGGACGAAGCUUUUUGUGACGGUACCUGCAGAAGUAGCACCGGCUAACUACGUG
rnacentral:rRNA from 1 species